ACUAUAUAAUUUUUUGGGAUCUUUACUCCCAGCUCUAGCUAGUUUUAUCUCUGCCUGCCUUUUACUUUUUUUUAUAACCUUACUCAAAUCAUCCCUGACCUGUCUGUACCUAAUCAAAUCUACAUAACCUCACCUUUACAAUGGAGUGACAUUUUCCCAACAACCUUCCCCACACACACUCUCUUUUCUGUAGCCUGUGCAUGGACCUUGACUGGUGUUGCUGUCAGUAUGGUACCAGCCUUCUUUCUCAUCUCACUCUACAAGGCAAAAGGAGAGACAUUCAUUGAGAGACUGAGGAGCAUCUUUAGACCUGCAGAGAACUGGGGACCAAGGAAGGAGAUCCACAGGAGGGAGUGGGAGAAGCUGCGGUGUGAGAAGAAAUAAAAGUAAUUACACCUGGGAACUCUUGGGACAAAAAAAAUGGAGAACUACUCAGGAAUUGUAAAUGACAAAGAAAGAGACAAGAGAGAUAGAAAAAUGAUGCACAAGUAAGGAGGGAAAAUGAAAGUGAUAAGAAAUAAAUAAAUAAAAAUUACUCAGAAAUUGUAAAGGACAAAGAAAGAGACGAAAGAUAGAAAAAUGAUGCACGAGUGAGGAGGGAAAAUGAAAGUGACAUGAAACAGAUAAGAAUUACUCAGAAAUUGUAAAGGACAAGGAAAGAGUGAGAAGAGAGAUGGUAAAAUGAUGCAUGAGUGAGGAAGGAAAAUGAAAGUGAUAUGA